rnacentral:lncRNA from 1 species
UGACAGUCUUAGUCUGGGGAGACUGAGACUUGCUUCAUGGGCUUGCUUCUCUAUUCUUGCUGAUGCUAACAUCUGUGGGCCACCUUUUAGCACUGGUUGCUCUUGCCUAACUCUUGUCUGCAUCCCUUGGCUGUCAGCCAGUUGGGAGGCUUCUUGUAUGCCUCCAAUGAGCCUUCAAGGAUGCUUCUGGAACUGGGAUAUUUAUCAGAGACAGAUCAGGAAAGCCAGCACCAUUAGACAUGCAGCUCUGUGCUGCCUUGGGGACACAUUCUUGGCUGUCUUCCCAAAACGUUCGUGGUAUGGUACUGUCUGUCAGUAUUAACAAGCAUGGGUGUCCCUAAAUGUUUUUAUCUUUGUGUGUGUGUGUAUACUUGGGUGCACACAACUAGUAGUAUGUGCAUUCCUGCAUAUAAGUAUGCAUCUAUUUAAUUUGUAUGUUAUCAUAAAAUGUUUUUUCUUAGCUAGGCAUGAUGGUGUGUGUGUAUAAUCUCGGAGUCCAGGAGGCUGGGGCAGGUAUCUUCUCCACUUCCUUCCUUGUCCCCUCAAAGAUGUUGACUAACAUCAAGGCAACACCUUCUUUGUAGAUGAAAGAGCAGUUGGGCUGUCAGCUGCUCAAACCGUUUUGUUGUGCAACCUCGUUUGAAAACGAUGUGAGGAAGAAUAAACAACCGUGAAUGUGGAGUCAAGGAGACCUGAGGGUGAAGCCCAGCUUGGCUGCCUGCCUGCUGUGGACCUUGGACAAAUUGCAUGGCAAUUCUGGGUCCCUGGCCUCCUCUUCUGACACACCAUGACCUGGUGUAAUGUGGGACGCCCGACUUGCCUAGAAGUAAGACGCCACAACAGGAUCCUUCUGCAACACGUUUAUUGGGAGAGCAUGGACUGAGUAGGCAAAAGACCCCGAGCCCCAGAAAUGGCGCUGCUUAUAUAGGCCCACGAGUGACGUGUCCAUACCUGAUUGGUUAUGCUACCAGUACCUCAUUAAUAUGUGUCGGGCCAGGCAGUGACUCAGCAAAAAACUCUUAUGCACAUGCUUACAUUGGUUGUUUAUCCAUAAUCAUGGGUGGUGGCCAGUGGUAGCCAGCGCCAUCUUAUAAUGGUGUUUGCGGCUUCCCACAGUGUAAGGAGUUGCAUCUGUAUGAAAUCAUCUCCAUUUGGUUAUUCACUGGGGAGUCAGGGUCAGGUGGAUCCCUGGGGCUUGCUGACUGGCCUGCCUAGCUCACUGAUUAGGUACACCACUGGGGGAUCCGCUCUUAAAAUGAAGUGGGCGGUGCUUGAGGAGUGAAAUCUGAGCUGUCCUCCAGCCUCCACACACAUGCACACCACACACAAGCACUGGUCAUUUGGCCAGUGAGAUACUUCACUCCCAAGAUUUGGAUACUAG